UUAAGGGUUGACAGUGGAGGCAAAGGCAUGUCUUGCUGGAGACCCCUGCUUAUCUGAGGUCUUCUAAAGAUAGUAACUUCAUCCUUGCAAAUGCUCAGGUGGCUAAGGGAUUCCCUAUUGUUUACUGCUCAGAUGGCUUCUGUGAUCUUGCUGGAUUUGCACGAACUGAAGUCAUGCAGAAGAGCUGCAGCUGUAAAUUUUUACUUGGUGCUGAAACAAACGAGCAGAUGAUCCUUCAGAUUGAGAAAUCCUUGGAAGAAAAGGUAGAAUUCAAAGGAGAAAUCAUGUUCUAUAAAAAGAAUGGGUCUUCAUUCUGGUGCCUAUUGGAUAUUGUUCCUAUAAAGAAUGAAAAAGGAGAUGUAGUACUAUUUCUGGCCUCUUUCAAAGAUAUAACAGACACAAAAGUGAAGAUUGUCGCAGAAGACAAAAAGGAAGGUUUGUGUGAAUUGAAACGAAUAUUGAUAAUGCAGUUUUUUGAGUGUCAUAGUUACACUGCUCUCUUUCAUGCAUUGUCCAGUACAAAGAUUUUCUGGAGCUCCAAAUAGUAGAUUAAUAUAUAUAUAAAUAUUAUAUUUUAUAUAUAUGUGUGUGUGUAUACAAUUAUCAUCAAUAUAUAUGUAGUAUAAAAUUGAUCUUAUCUAUUUAUGGCAGCCCUGUCCAUGGAAGAGGGAUUGGAAAUAGAUGAUCUUUAAGGUCCCUUUCAACAAAUAUUAUCAUAUUUUUUCUUACGUCUCUGACAACCUUACAGUUAUGAAAGCUUUAGGAAAAUAUUUUGCUAAAACAUAAUGUAUGAGAUCUUGAAGAGGAGAUACUGUCUGAACUUUGUGAUUUAAUGGCUAAUUAUUUGUCUUAUGUGACAUGCGAAUUUUCUGGAUACACUUACUAAGAAUUCACAUUUAAUAUGCCAGUGAUCGCUUGAAGUAGGAAUGUGACUGAUCAUUUGUAAAAUGAUAGCUAUUGUUUAUCUGUUAAAAAUUUCAUAGCUGUAUGCUUAGGUUUGGAUGGGUUAAAGUGAUCUCCAGCUUUUGAUGUGAGUUAGAGUGUAAAAUAAAACGGAUGUUAGCUCA